rnacentral:tRNA from 1 species
AUCUUUUUGGUGUAAAGCACAGGAGUUUUUGAUUCUCCAGGAGGGUAAAUCCCAGAAGAUU